GAGACUGACUUCCUCCCCUGCUGCCUGGGCUGCGGUAGCUCUUCCGGCACCUGCUCUUCAGGCACCUGCCCUGUGCUGGCCCCUCCUGCAACAAUCGGGAGCCCUCACCUCAGUCGGCGCUGCAGAACCAGCCCAGGAGAGCAGCUGGCCUGUCAUCUGCUGAGGAGCGGAGGCGUGCGGGGAUCCGGAGGGGAAGGGGGUCUGGAGUGCUCCGGGGGAGACCCUCAGGGACUGCCCUGCUGCUGGCAGCGCCUGGGCCCACGGCUGAUGGAGGCGUCUCCUGGCCCCCAGGGCUGUGCCCAGGACUGCAAUGGCCUCCCACACUACCUCACUACCCUGGUCCAGGCUCACUGACAGAUGAGGAAACUGAGGCAGGGGCCCCGGUCUCACGGCCAUUGGUGCAGAGCUGGGAUCCACGACCAGAUUCUACCAAUUAAAAAAAGGAAAUGUGGGCCGGGCGUG
rnacentral:lncRNA from 1 species